rnacentral:rRNA from 1 species
CCUACGGGGGGCAGCAGUGAGGAAUAUUGGUCAAUGGACGAGAGUCUGAACCAGCCAAGUAGCGUGAAGGAUGACUGCCCUAUGGGUUGUAAACUUCUUUUAUAUGGGAAUAAAAUGUUCCACGUGUGGGAUUUUGUAUGUACCAUAUGAAUAAGGAUCGGCUAACUCCGUGCCAGCAGCCGCGGUAAUACGGAGGAUCCGAGCGUUAUCCGGAUUUAUUGGGGUUAAAGGGAGCGUAGGUGGAUUGUUAAGUCAGUUGUGAAAGUUUGCGGCUCAACCGUAAAAUUGCAGUUGAAACUGGCAGUCUUGAGUACAGUAGAGGUGAGCGGAAUUCGUGGUGUAGCGGUGAAAUGCUUAGAUAUCACGAAGAACUCCGAUUGCGAAGGCAGUUCACUGGACUGCAACUGACACUGAGGCUCGAAAGUGUGGGUAUCAAACAGGAUUAGAUACCCGAGUAGUC